rnacentral:rRNA from 1 species
AUUGAACGCUGGCGGCAGGCCUAACACAUGCAAGUCGAACGAGUGGCGGACGGGUGAGUAAUGUCUGGGAAACUGCCCGAUGGAGGGGGAUAACUACGGGAAACGAGAGCUAAUACCACAUACCAUCGGAUGUGCCCAGAUGGGCUUGGCUUGUGGGUGGGGUAAGGGCUCACCGAGGCGACGAUCCAUAGCUGGUCUGAGAGGAUGACCAGCCACACUGGAACUGAGACACGGUCCAGACUCCUACGGGAGGCAGCAGUGGGGAAUAUUGCACAAUGGGCGCAAGCCUGAUACAGCCAUGCCGCGUGUAUGAAGAAGGCCUUCGGGUUGUAAAGCACUUUCAGCGGGGAGGCGUUACCCGCAGAAGAAGCACCGGCUAACUCCGUGCCAGCAGCCGCGGUAAUUC